rnacentral:lncRNA from 1 species
AGGAUGCGCGGCGCCCGGCGCCUCCGGCCUCUGCCGGCUCCACGACCCCUGCGCGCCCGCAGCCCCGCAGCCGAGCGCUCCGACGCACCCCGACUCCGCCCUGCAACUGUCGUUUGCAGCGGAACUGGACUUUGGACGCAAGAAGCCCCGAGGAGUGGCUUUCCGGCUUUCCCAAGUCUGAGUUUGUGAUGUUUAUUUACUUGUCUGCCUAGAGGGCUUACCUCUAGAGGUAGAUGGACCAACGCCAGCUGCCUCCAAGUCUGCAGAAUUUGUCCCCUGAACAGCCCUGGACGACUCAGCCGCAGCGCUCCGCCAGGACAUCCUCGCCCGGGCGCGGCCCGGGUAGAGCUGGAUGGAGACUGCGGCUCGCCCUCUGCUUAACGGCGGCUGCACGGAGAAAGGGUCCUCACAGCCCGCGCCCUCACUUGGCCCUGGGAUGUCAGGGGAGGGUCCGGUCUAGCCCCUCCCCGCCAACCGGCCGCACAUUUCCGGGGAGGAGGCCGGGCCACCGGUUGGGAACGUCAAAAGAAGAGGCACCUUGUCGUAAAGGACGAACACUGUUUUCCUAAGAUGAUCGGUGAGAUGCGCAAACCGUCCUUCUGGCCACAGCCUGGCCUCACCCUCGAGGCUGAGCGCGCUCCGAUGGAAGCUCCGUGCAGAGGCUCCGAGCCCUGGUUAAUCCAGCAGAGAAUGAUUACAGCAAUUUUAUCCUGUGAAUUUGCCGGUGAUGCGUUUUCAGUCUUUAAUCCCUUUUGGCAUCCCAUUUGAAGGGACGGACAUAGAGGGAUUUACAACGUAUUAAAUCGUUUCUCCAACAAUUACCUCUUUGGAUUCAUAACCCUGGAUGUUGUGUUCCAAAAGUCUGUUCCAUAAAAUUAGAAAGUUAAUGCACAUUUGCAAAAUAACCCCAAAGGAGCAGAACCCACGUUACCAUAAGAGCAGAAAGGCUCUCAAAGUUACCUUUGAUUCAGCGUUUUCCCGGGUUUAAAAAGUGAUUUAUGCUCGUUUUCCUGGCUUGAGUGCCUGAGGCGUGCGUAUUCAUAUAAAUGUAUAAAAGCUAUUCUGAAGCAUGGCUCUCUGAGUGGGAAGACAGCCAGAAUCAUGCCGGAGGUUCCAGCGGAGGGGAGCGCUCGUUAAGGUGCAUGUGUGGAGGGGUCUCUGAAUAAACCGACGUGUCUGCUCCUCUGUGGUCGGCC